GAGAGAGCAUGAGAGGAGAGAGGUCAGCAGGAGAAGCAGACUCCCCACGGAAUGCGGGACUCGAUCCUGGGACCCCAGGAUCAUGACCUGAGCCAAAGGCAGUUGCUUAACCAACUGAGCCACCCAGUGAAUAGUUCAGCAUCGUCACGGCGAGCACGGAAUGGAGGACGCAUGGUCCGGUCUCUUCCUUCCCUUCCCAAGGAGACGCCGGGAGCUGCGACCUUCCUCUCCCUGGUGGGAGGCUCUGCCAGGGGGAGGGGUCAUGGCACGACAUUUGCCGCGGACUUUCCCACUGGCUUCCCUUUGGCCGCGUUUUCUU
rnacentral:lncRNA from 1 species